GAUGAACGCUGGCGGCGUGCCUAAUACAUGCAAGUCGAACGCUGAAGGAGGAGCUUGCUCUUCUGGAUGAGUUGCGAACGGGUGAGUAACGCGUAGGUAACCUGCCUGGUAGCGGGGGAUAACUAUUGGAAACGAUAGCUAAUACCGCAUGACAACAGUUAUUGCAUGAUAACUGUUUAAAAGGGGCAACUGCUCCACUACCAGAUGGACCUGCGUUGUAUUAGCUAGUUGGUGAGGUAACGGCUCACCAAGGCGACGAUACAUAGCCGACCUGAGAGGGUGAUCGGCCACACUGGGACUGAGACACGGCCCAGACUCCUACGGGAGGCAGCAGGAGGGAAUCUUCGGCAAGGGACGGAAGUCUGACCGAGCAACGCCGCGGGAGUGAAGAAGGGUUUCGGAUCGUAAAGCUCUGUUGUAAGAGAAGAACGAGUGUGAGAGUGGAAAGUUCACACUGUGACGGUAUCUGACCAGAAAGGGACGGCUAACUACGUG
rnacentral:rRNA from 1 species